UACCUUAUAGUAUUAUGAUUGGCAUCACUUAUAAUAUAAAGAUUAUUGGUAUAAGAUGAGCAUGCGUCCCAUUAGUUAGUUGGUAAGGUAACGGCUUACCAAGACGAUGAUGGGUAGGGGUCCUGAGAGGGAGAUCCCCCACACUGGUACUGAGACACGGACCAGACUCCUACGGGAGGCAGCAGUGAGGAAUAUUGGUCAAUGGAGGCAACUCUGAACCAGCCAUGCCGCGUGCAGGAUGACGGUCCUAUGGAUUGUAAACUGCUUUUGUACAGGAAGAAAACAUGCUACGUGUAGCAACUUGACGGUACUGUAAGAAUAAGGAUCGGCUAACUCCGUGC
rnacentral:rRNA from 1 species